UACGUAGGGUGCGAGCGUUGUCCGGAAUUAUUGGGCGUAAAGGGCUCGUAGGCGGUUUGUCGCGUCGGGGGUGAAAACCAGGUGCUUAACACCUGGCUUGCUUUCGAUACGGGCAGACUAGAGGUAUUCAGGGGAGAACGGAAUUCCUGGUGUAGCGGUGAAAUGCGCAGAUAUCAGGAGGAACACCGGUGGCGAAGGCGGUUCUCUGGGAAUGACCUGACGCUGAGGAGCGAAAGUGUGGGGAGCGAACAGG
rnacentral:rRNA from 1 species